GAUGAAUUCUGGCGGCGUGCUUAACACAUGCAAGUCGAACGAUGAAGCCCAGCUUGCUGGGCGGAUUAGUGGCGAACGGGUGAGUAACACGUGAGUAACCCGCCCUUGACUCUGGGAUAAGCCCGGGAAACUGGGUCUAAUACCGGAUAGGAGCGCCUGUCGCAUGACGGGUGCUGGAAAGAUCUUUCGGUCAUGGAUGGACUCGCGGCCUAUCAGCUUGUUGGCGAGGUAAUGGCUCACCAAGGCGACGACGGGUAGCCGGCCUGAGAGGGUGACCGGCCACACUGGGACUGAGACACGGCCCAGACUCCUACGGGAGGCAGCAGUGGGGAAUAUUGCACAAUGGGCGGAAGCCUGAUGCAGCGACGCCGCGUGAGGGAUGACGGCCUUCGGGUUGUAAACCUCUUUCAGUAGGGAAGAAGCGAAAGUGACGGUACCUGCAGAAGAAGCACCGGCUAACUACGUGCCAGCAGCCGCGGUAAUACGUAGGGUGCGAGCGUUAUCCGGAAUUAUUGGGCGUAAAGAGCUCGUAGGCGGUUUGUCGCGUCUGUCGUGAAAGUCCGGGGCUUAACCCCGGAUCUGCGGUGGGUACGGGCAGACUAGAGUGCAGUAGGGGAGACUGGAAUUCCUGGUGUAGCGGUGGAAUGCGCAGAUAUCAGGAGGAACACCGAUGGCGAAGGCAGGUCUCUGGGCUGUAACUGACGCUGAGGAGCGAAAGCAUGGGGAGCGAACAGGAUUAGAUACCCUGGUAGUCCAUGCCGUAAACGUUGGGCACUAGGUGUGGGGACCAUUCCACGGUUUCCGCGCCGCAGCUAACGCAUUAAGUGCCCCGCCUGGGGAGUACGGCCGCAAGGCUAAAACUCAAAGGAAUUGACGGGGGCCCGCACAAGCGGCGGAGCAUGCGGAUUAAUUCGAUGCAACGCGAAGAACCUUACCAAGGCUUGACAUGUUUUCGAUCGCCGUGGAGACACGGUUUCCCCUUUGGGGCGGAUUCACAGGUGGUGCAUGGUUGUCGUCAGCUCGUGUCGUGAGAUGUUGGGUUAAGUCCCGCAACGAGCGCAACCCUCGUUCCAUGUUGCCAGCACGUUGUGGUGGGGACUCAUGGGAGACUGCCGGGGUCAACUCGGAGGAAGGUGAGGACGACGUCAAAUCAUCAUGCCCCUUAUGUCUUGGGCUUCACGCAUGCUACAAUGGCCGGUACAAUGGGUUGCGAUACUGUGAGGUGGAGCUAAUCCCAAAAAGCCGGUCUCAGUUCGGAUUGGGGUCUGCAACUCGACCCCAUGAAGUCGGAGUCGCUAGUAAUCGCAGAUCAGCAACGCUGCGGUGAAUACGUUCCCGGGCCU
rnacentral:rRNA from 1 species